GUUUCCCUAUAGACCGUGAUGAAGAAUUCAUGGCGGCUAUAAACGAAGAAACGAUCGCGACAAGUUCCCCGGCAGAAGGGGUCGCAUCUCCAGCAAUUAUCGAGCGAUUUCUAUCACGUGAAUUCGCAACGAAACGCGUCGAGGGUGAAUUAUGAGUUGAGAGAAAAGCGAUUUAGAGGAUCAACCGAUCAAACUUAAGUAAAGGCAUGCCUGCCAGCAUCCGUGCCGAACGCGAAACUUAUCUAAAGAUACGAUCCAAACCGAAAAGUCAAUUUUCUUGAGCCAAAGCGAGUCGGCUCCCAUCCCUUCGAGAUAAUAUCGUCGUUUACGAAGCUCCCGUGCACUUCUCCCGGAUCCAGGAAGCACAUGAUCUGGCAAACUUCCGCAUCAACGCCGCCGGAAGAGUGGAACUGAACGAUGUAACGGAUAUGACCGAGGAAAUCGAAGAUCUUGCGGUAUUGUUAAGGAAAAUUAACCAGUUGACUGAGGAAAGAGUCGUGAACACGUUCCGUGUCGCGCGUGAUCAUCGGGAUAAGGAUGAAGGAUGAAUUUUAUUACUGUAUCGAAGAGUAAAGUGCGUACAAUUUUCAGAGUUAAGUUAAUACAGGAUGCAUUUAAAUUGAUAAUAAAUAGAACGUGAAUUCUCGUGCGUUUAUGGGAAAUUUGAAAGUGCGAAACUGCACAGAAUGCGUACGAUACGAGAAAACGUAUAAAAUACCCAAGGUAUAUGCGGUGCUUUCUAUAACACUUGAUUAAACAACUUUCUACCGAUAUUCUACCUUUUUUUAUUCUACUACUACAAAUAUGAAUUUGCAUGAAAAUCAGUCGCACGAACGUCGGUGGAAAAGUAGUUUAAUAAAUAAUAAAAAUAUAUCGAUGGAAGAUGAACAAAAUUGUAAAAUUUUGUUUUGAGAAAUUCAACGCGCUCUUCCGUGGAAUAUCUACAGUCCAGUGGACGAUAACGUUGCUCCAAUUGCUAUAAUCGAUAUCAUGGAAAUUUGAAUUGCCUAAAUUUUCAAAUAAAUUCGAUUAUAGCAGGCAAUUUUUAAUUGCUAGCAAAUUUGAUAAAUUUCCAGAAUUUUGUCUUGAAAAACGCUCGUGUGCCAUCCUCCUCGCGCGCCCUUGCGCAUCCAUCCUUUCCAGAAAUUUUUCUCCGUCAAAACCCUGUUAGAUAUUCCUCGAAGAAGAAUGGGAAAUCGAAAAGAGGCUGUACGACAAACCGAAACAACGUCCUUAUUUCCUAUCUUGCUCGUCCGCUUCUACUUGCGAAUUUUUCUGGGUCUUGCCCCCUAUGGAAUAUUCCUUAGGGGAGAGGAAAACGAGAAACUAAAAAGGAGGGGGGAAAAAAGAAAGGAAGGAAGAGAAAAAAGUGGACUGGGUCAUCCAUCACGGCUCUCAUCAGCCGCUGUUAACUGAUCCACUUCAAAAGGUACACCAAUACCGACGCCCGAUUGUGCAACUAUGCGCGCCGCUGAAGAGAAGCAAACGAGCGGUCAUGACAAGAUUGAUGUGCAUUUUCGGUGCACCGACGAAUAAUUGAUUUUCGAGUCGACCAACGAUCUCGAUCAUCCUGCCAGUCGGGAGAUGGACGUGCCUCGCGAUCUGCAUCGUAUAUUAUCACCGGGGUCACCGAGGGGGUUGGGCGACAAGGGGGUGGAAAAAACGACUUCAUAUUUGCUCACUACCGUUUCCUUUUUUUUCUAUUUCAUCGUAUUUUAUUAUAUGUAUCGUCUAUUUUUUCUUUUUUUACUUCAUGACAUUUUACGUGGGUAUUAACGAUUCCAGUAUCGUUGAUCGUAAAUUGAUAUUUUGGAAAGCGUUCGAGCUGGUCGUAACGUUGCGCGAAGUAAGCUAUUCCUUCGCUGUUCGCUGUUUAAACUUCAAAUUUUCACCGAUGCAGUUCAAAAUACGAUAUAAUCCGAAAAACCAUAAAUUCUUCGAUGAUGAACUUUUGCUGGCCCGA